rnacentral:tRNA from 1 species
GGGUGUUUAGCUCAGCUGGGAGAGCAUCGCCCUUACAAGGCGAGGGUCGUAGGUUCGAUCCCUACAACACCCACCA